GGCUCAUUUCACCAUCGCGAGCUCGACCGCUCCUUCAAGCGAUGAUUUCGUUCAUCAACGAACACCGUGGUGUGUUCGGGGUCGAACCGAUCUGCAGACUGCUGCCGAUCGCCCCG
rfam:Rhizobium oryzae strain 1.7048 scaffold18, whole genome shotgun sequence.